rnacentral:rRNA from 1 species
UGGGGAAUAUUGGACAAUGGGCGCAAGCCUGAUCCAGCAAUGCCGCGUGUGUGAAGAAGGCCUUCGGGUUGUAAAGCACUUUUAUCAGGAGCGAAACGCUGUCGGCUAAUACCCGGCGGAACUGACGGUACCUGAGGAAUAAGCACCGGCUAACUUCGUGCCAGCAGCCGCGGUAAUACGAAGGGUGCAAGCGUUAAUCGGAAUUACUGGGCGUAAAGCGUGCGUAGGCGGUUUCUUAAGUCUGCUGUGAAAUCCCCGGGCUCAACCUGGGAAUGGCAGUGGAUACUGGGAGGCUAGAGUGUGUCAGAGGGUGGUGGAAUUCCCGGUGUAGCGGUGAAAUGCGUAGAGAUCGGGAGGAACAUCAGUGGCGAAGGCGGCCACCUGGGACAACACUGACGCUGAGGCACGAAAGCGUGGGGGAGCAAACAGGAUUAGAUACCCUGGUAGUCCACGCCCUAAACGAUGCGAACUGGAUGUUGGUCUCAACUCGGAGAUCAGUGUCGAAGCUAACGCGUUAAGUUCGCCGCCU